GUUUAAGUGGAUCACACCACAUCAUGAAUGUUAUAUUUAAAUUAUUGAACACCUAAAGAGAACGUUAACGUAUGUGACUGACUGAAGGUUGUUAUUUAGUGUGACACUUUGAAUAACCUCGUUUCUGCACUUUACUAGCAGUUUAUUGUUAGCUCAAAUAAAUUUUGAAAAUUCAAUGAGAGCGUUUUCACAAAGAGUGAAUCUACGAAAAAUUAAAAAAACAGAAAAUUAAUAAAAAUUAACGACUAAAUGCCACAGUGAUAGUUUUGACAAUCAUCAUAUGCUUAGUGAGUUGUUUAUAUGCAUUUAAUUCAACGAAGUCCUUUAACUUAUUAUUUCACAAAUAAAAGAAUAUUUUGAAAAAAAACAUCACUCAUACGCCGCUGCGGCAAAAGCUUUAGGGUAUGACUGCAGCGGAAAUAUACUUACGCAGAGAAAUGAACCACUGUGCCAUCUUUGAGCCGUGUCUUUUUUCUUCAUUUCCGACCAAUGUUGACGGCUUCAACGUAAAAGAGCUGUAAAUCAAAUAUUUGCGUUUGAGUUGAAGGAGGAUAACCGUUUUUUUUUUGGGAAUGAAAUAAUUAUUUACUUUCUUCAGCAACUCCUCGAUGCUAUUAAAUGCAUACCAGACACAGAGCUUUGAAGGAUUGCGUGCGCAAAUAACUGAAGGUCAAAACUUGAGCGAAGCGCUAGAAAAUCAUAAUUCAUUUGGCUUUAAGACCGCAAUUCUCGGAUUUCCGCCAACACUUUGCCACAACCAGCAACACCACCAACAACAAGUGAUAUACAAU